AGACCCGAAACCCGGUGAUCUAGCCAUGGGCAGGUUGAAGGUUGGGUAACACUAACUGGAGGACCGAACCGACUAAUGUUGAAAAAUUAGCGGAUGACCUGUGGCUGGGGGUGAAAGGCCAAUCAAACCGGGAGAUAGCUGGUUCUCCCCGAAAGCUAUUUAGGUAGCGCCUCGUGAAUUCAUCUCCGGGGGUAGAGCACUGUUUCGGCCAGGGGGCCAUCCCGGCUUACCAAUCCGAUGCAAACUGCGAAUACCGGAGAAUGUUAUCACGGGAGACACACGGCGGGUGCUAACGUCCGUCGUGAAGAGGGAAACAACCCAGACCGCCAGCUAAGGUCCCAAAGUCAUGGUUAAGUGGGAAACGAUGUGGGAAGGCCCAGACAGCCAGGAUGUUGGCUUAGAAGCAGCCAUCAUUUAAAGAAAGCGUAAUAGCUCACUGGUCGAGUCGGCCUGCGCGGAAGAUGUAACGGGGCUAAACCAUGCACCGAAGCUGCGGCAGCGAACGUAUCACCCAAGACAACUUUACACAGUUGACGCCUGACGGAGCGAAGCGACGUCAAAGCGUUUUACAACGUCGAGUUGGCUUAGGGAUACGUUCGUUGGGUAGGGGAGCGUUCUGUAAGCCGUUGAAGGUGUGUCGUGAGGCAUGCUGGAGGUAUCAGAAGUGCGAAUGCUGACAUAAGUAACGAUAAAGCGGGUGAAAAGCCCGCUCGCCGGAAGACCAAGGGUUCCUGUCCAACGUUAAUCGGGGCAGGGUGAGUCGACCCCUAAGGCGAGGCCGAAAGGCGUAGUCGAUGGGAAACGGGUUAAUAUUCCCGUACUUGGUGUUACUGCGAAGGGGGGACGGAGAAGGCUAUGUUGGCCGGGCGACGGUUGUCCCGGUUUAAGCGUGUAGGUGUGUGUUCCAGGUAAAUCCGGUUCACUUUAACACUGAGGCGUGAUGACGAGGCACCACGGUGCUGAAGCAACAAAUGCCCUGCUUCCAGGAAAAGCCUCUAAGCCUCAGGUAACAUCAAAUCGUACCCCAAACCGACACAGGUGGUCAGGUAGAGAAUACCAAGGCGCUUGAGAGAACUCGGGUGAAGGAACUAGGCAAAAUGGUGCCGUAACUUCGGGAGAAGGCACGCUGACACGUAGGUGAAGUGGUUUACCCAUGGAGCUGAAGUCAGUCGAAGAUACCAGCUGGCUGCAACUGUUUAUUAAAAACACAGCACUGUGCAAACACGAAAGUGGACGUAUACGGUGUGACGCCUGCCCGGUGCCGGAAGGUUAAUUGAUGGGGUCAGCGCAAGCGAAGCUCCUGAUCGAAGCCCCGGUAAACGGCGGCCGUAACUAUAACGGUCCUAAGGUAGCGAAAUUCCUUGUCGGGUAAGUUCCGACCUGCACGAAUGGCGUAAUGAUGGCCAGGCUGUCUCCACCCGGGACUCAGUGAAAUUGAACUCGCUGUGAAGAUGCAGUGUACCCGCGGCAAGACGGAAAGACCCCGUGAACCUUUACUAUAGCUUGACACUGAACACUGGUCCUUGAUGUGCAGGAUAGGUGGGAGGCUUUGAAGUGUGGACGCCAGUCUGCAUGGAGCCAUCCUUGAAAUACCACCCUUUAAUGGCUGGUGUUCUAACGUGGGCCCGUGAACCGGGUUGCGGACAGUGUCUGGUGGGUAGUUUGACUGGGGCGGUCUCCUCCUAAAGAGUAACGGAGGAGCACGAAGGUUGGCUAAUCCUGGUCGGACAUCAGGAGGUUAGUGCAAUGGCAUAAGCCAGCUUGACUGCGAGCGUGACGGCGCGAGCAGGUGCGAAAGCAGGUCAUAGUGAUCCGGUGGUUCUGAAUGGAAGGGCCAUCGCUCAACGGAUAAAAGGUACUCCGGGGAUAACAGGCUGAUACCGCCCAAGAGUUCAUAUCGACGGCGGUGUUUGGCACCUCGAUGUCGGCUCAUCACAUCCUGGGGCUGAAGUAGGUCCCAAGGGUAUGGCUGUUCGCCAUUUAAAGUGGUACGCGAGCUGGGUUUAGAACGUCGUGAGACAGUUCGGUCCCUAUCUGCCGU
rnacentral:rRNA from 1 species